GGAGAGGUGGCCGAGAGGCUGAAGGCGCCCGCCUGCUAAGCGGGUAGACUCUGAUGAGGGGUCUCGAGGGUUCGAAUCCCUCCCUCUCCG
rnacentral:tRNA from 1 species